AGAGAGGCUGCUCGGCAACAUGUCUGCACCCGAGAAAGCAAAACCAGGAAGACUUAACCGAAAGGAAAAGGCAGAAAGGGACAGAAAGUGAGGAGAGGAAGACAACUCCUCACACAUUUCUGUCAGAGGAAAGGCUGCAGCUCGGUGUAACAAAUAAGUGCACAAAUGUGGAGGGGAGUUUAGCAGCCAGGAUCGGUUUCAGGUGCUUUGUGGCUCUCAGUGACUGAUGAUACUGCAGAUCAGAGUGGAGUCUUUACUGGCUGCAGACACUCAGAGACAGACGCUCCUCCGGGACGUAACAGACCGGCUCAACAGGCUUCGUCACUUCCUCGCUUCACCUGCCAGCUUACAUCAUCAUCAAGCCUGCACCACAUGUGAGUUUCUUCCUUCGAGGACAGAGCCUGGUGGCCCUGUUUCAUUAAUGACAGUAACAUGGAGGAAGGUUUGUCUGAGAGGGAGAGAGGCUCAGAGAAAACAUGGAGCUGGACUUCAUGAAGUCAGUGGGCGAGAUCUUUGAGCGUAAUAAACCCAGGCUGAUGUCAUCAAGGUGAGGAGGUCCACGAGGUGAGCUGCGGUGCGUUCACAGACACACAGAACUGUUCUGUUCUGUUCUGUUUGAAGCUGCACUGGAUGAGAUGUCUGCGUCCCUCCAUCAGUUCAACAUCCAACAUGUCCUGUUGAUUUUAAAUUGAUUUAUAUCCAGCGCCUCCUGCUUCAACCCACGUCAACAAUGACUCAGACGUUCAGUUUAUCGAGAGACGUGCUGCCAUCAAACACACCUGACACGAGACGAUUCGCCUCAGCUUGGUUUGUAGACGAAUCCACAAAAAUCCUCGAAGAAACACUAAACAAAGAAACUCUCUGACGGUCUGAAAGAGAGAACGCCUUCUCCUCCACUACACAUGGGCCGGGCUGAAUCACCUGACCAGGAACACCUGAGAGAGAAGGAGGGAACACACAGGAGGAGGCGGGCAGACCGGCUGGAGUCUCAUCAGAUUCUGUUCCGAUCCAGAGCGUUUACUUAGGAGGAACUUUAAGAAAGUGGGUUGAUCUUCACUCCUGUUUAUUGACCUGACUGCAGCAGCGAUCCGGAGCUGAUCUGAGCUCUGUGAAUACUCGCACAGUAACACAAUGUGGAAAUACUCUUUACUGGUGAUCUAAACUGACGAGAGCAAAGAGAAAACAUGCUGAGAGAGAAACACAUGAAAUAUAAUCCUGCCCAGUAAGAUCAAAACACA